rnacentral:misc_RNA from 1 species
CGGAUGUCGGUAGCUGUAGCGCGUAGUGUUGGCAAGGCAAGGUUUUAUGAGGAGAGUGUGUGCGGUAGUGGAUAAAUGGUGUAGUGGAUGUGUGUAAGAUGAGCAGGACUCCUGGUAAAAAUAAUAUUGAAGCGGAAUUUGUGCAAAUAGACUCGAUUAGAGCGUGGACGCAGCUGUACCAGCGCAUAAGGGAUGAGAGUUUAAACAAUGAUUACACACUCAUUGAAGCAAAGAAAGCAGAAAACAAGAAUCUUAACAGGUAUAGAGAUGUCAGUCCAUAUGAUCAUAGCAGAGUUGUUCUCACAAAGGGAUCCUGCAACUAUAUCAAUGCAAAUCUUAUCACGAUGGAAAGGGCACACCGUCGGUAUAUCUUGACACAGGGCCCUUUGCCACAUACAACAGGCCAUUUCUGGUUGAUGAUUUGGGAACAGAAGUGCAAAGCAGUGCUUAUGCUAAACAGAAUAAUAGAAAAGAAUCAGGUUAAAUGUCAUCAGUACUGGCCUUCAGGUACAAAACCAGGUGUGGAUGAGAGACUGGAAUUGAAAGAUGUUGGCCUUGUUGUAGAGUUUGUCUCAGAGACUGAAGCCUCAUACUAUACAACAAGAGUUCUGAGGUUGAUAGAUGAAGUGACUGGAGAGAGCCGGCAGAUUCUACAGUUCCAUUAUACUACAUGGCCCGACUUUGGCGUGCCAGAGAGCCCAACAGCAUUCCUAAAUUUCCUGACUGUAGUUCGACAGAGUGGUGCACUGGACCAGAAUGUAGGGCCACCAGUUGUGCAUUGCUCAGCUGGAAUAGGGCGUUCUGGUACUUUCUGCCUUGUCGAUUCUUGCCUUGUUCUUAUUGAGGAGAAUGGUCUCGACUCAGUAAAUGUUGUGGAUGUGCUACUGGAAAUGCGGAAGUUUCGUAUGGGCCUCAUUCAGACGCCGGAUCAGUUAAGAUUUUCUUACUUGGCAAUUAUUGAAGGUGCGAAGAAACUAAUUAACAACAAUCCUUUGCAUGAUUACAAUAAUGUGGAGGACACAUCUUUGAAUCAUCAUGAUGGUUCAACAGAGGAGACUUCAGCAGAUGAAGAUGACACAGAUGAACCACCUCCAUUACCUCCACCACGAGGUGAUUCAUUGACACGGUCUAAGUUGGCUACAAAUAAUCAUGGUAUGAAUGGAGGAUUUGAAGCCAACAAACCACUUCCUGUGGAACCUGAGGUCUCUCCAGAGCAGGAGAGUGUGGAAAGAUUGCUUGACUCAGCACUUCAAGAUAAGGAAGCCAGUGAUGAUACACCUCAGCUACGACAUCGAAGGCAUGAGCGCCAGGAGCGGCUUUUGAGGCUGACAGGACGUAUACGUGAAAUAAAGCGUAAACAAGAAGCUGCCGAACGUUCAGAACAACUGUGGAGGUCUCUGUCAAAGCCAUUAGCUGUUGGUUUUGGUCUUGGGCUUGUUAUGGGCGGAGGCUGGAUUGCUUACUGUUACUUCUCUAACCGUGUUUGAUCAAGAAAGAGAUCAUCAAACCCUGGAGGUGUUUGUGCUGCACUGUCGGCAUAUAGGAUAUCUCUUUUCAGUGCCCAGCAAGAAGAGGAGGAAGAGCAACACGGAAGAAGCAGUCUCCAGCUGUGACAGUGGUUCUAGUAAGCAGCAGUAAAUAUCCCAUUUCAUUUCUGAACAGUAUGGCAUAUUCUGUGCUAGAAAAAUCCUACAUUCUUACUGAUCUGAAGUUGGCAAUUUCAGUAGACCAUUUUGAUAUGUGUUGUUAAAUGCAAAACAACCAAGCUCUGGAUAUUUUUAUAUAAUAUUUUUCUGCAACUUGGGUUACUCUCUGUGCAUAACAGAAAAAUAAAUGUACCUAGUGAUACAUGCCGUGGUGCACAUGUGGCUGAAAGGGAGUAAGUGAUGUUUUAUAUCAGUUCAUUACUCAAGGUAUUUACAAAGUGGUGACCAAAAAAUAUGACUGUUGCAAAUGUGUGACUUUUCCAAUGUUGUAACUUAGAGUUGUAAUUAAUUGAAAACUCUGGUAAUUUUGGAUAUUUUUUGCUUGUCAUUUGAAAACGAUAUAAUGACAUGUUUGAGUGCCCUCGUGUGGCAUCACAUGAAUGACUAAAAGGAAAAAGAAAUGGUCUUUGAAAAUGGAAUAACAGUAGUAAAUAUUACCAGUUCUUUCCCUUAAGUAUAGUGUUUCUUUGAGGUACUUGGUGCCACGAAGAAAUUUCUACACUGAUUUUAAUGAAUGAUGCUACCAAAAUCGUGUACAAUUUUUAUUAUUUUUUUUAUUUUAUUAUUAUUAUUUAACAAGUUGUUAAUAUUAAUGUACAUCAUCAUAAGAAUGAAUUAGUGUCCAUGUUAGUACUGAAUUUGCUGGUAGUGGAGAUUCUGCUCCACAUGCUGAUAAAAAAAGUAAGUUUACAAAGUAUCUUGUAUGGAAUUAUAGACUUUUAUCAGUAUUUUGUAAGUUUGUCUGAGUUUACUGAUGUGUAAUUAUAUUUACACAUUUUGUCAUAAAUGAUAGAAAUCUUAUUUGAUGUGGUGCACUAUCAAAGAAAACUUCCAGUUUACAUGCCUAGUUCCUCUACUAAUUGUGUAAGUUCUUUCUCAACUGCUUGUGGCUCUGACGUAACUAUAGUAACUUGCACCCAAUAAAAGUUAAAAUUUACCCUGCACAUUUAGAGAAAGUGGAAGUUAUAGUGCAAGUAUCUCCUCCCCCCCCCCCCUCUCUCUCUCUCUCUCUCUCUCUCUCUCUCUCUCUCUCUCUCUCGGGGAGGGGGCGACUACAGAUUUGUAAUAAGUAGAAAGAACAUCUCAGUGUUUCUAUUGCUUUUCUUUAAGGGAUAAUUUUACUUCUGUUUUAAUAUUUCUUGGCUUUUCAUUGUUACAAGUGAAGUUCUGUGCUUUUUGUUUUUGAGACAGCACAAAAAUAUAAUACAGUAUUUUCAAGUUA